rnacentral:rRNA from 1 species
AUUGAACGCUGGCGGUAUGCUUAACACAUGCAAGUCGAACGGUAACAGGCCUUCGGGCGCUGACGAGUGGCGGACGGGUGCGUAACGCGUAGGAAUCUGCCGAUUAGUGGGGGACAACUUGGGGAAACUCAAGCUAAUACCGCAUACGCCCUACGGGGGAAAGCGGGGGACCUUCGGGCCUCGCGCUAAUCGAUGAGCCUGCGUUGGAUUAGCUAGUUGGUAGGGUAAAGGCCUACCAAGGCGACGAUCCAUAGCUGGUCUGAGAGGACGAUCAGCCACACUGGGACUGAGACACGGCCCAGACUCCUACGGGAGGCAGCAGUGGGGAAUAUUGGACAAUGGGCGCAAGCCUGAUCCAGCAAUACCGCGUGUGUGAAGAAGGCCUGAGGGUUGUAAAGCACUUUCAAUAGGGAGGAAUAGCUAUCGGCCAAUACCCGGUAGUCUGACAUUACCUAUACAAGAAGCACCGGCUAACUCCGUGCCAGCAGCCGCCGUAAAAC